rnacentral:lncRNA from 1 species
UAAAAGUGCAUUAAAUUUUGAUCUAUACAUAUAUUAUUAUCCUUUGAGGGCCCUAAUCUUUUGACGUAUUCAUAUAAUUGUAAAGUUUGUCACUAUGCAUUUGUAGAAGUUUCGUUUUUGAAGGCAUUCACAUGUUACAAAUGAAAGUGGUCCGGUUAUGGUUCAUACUGGAAAAAAAUGGUGACAAUGCUAGCUUGCCUCUGUUGGAAGAUGGAGAGUGGUAAUGGUCCAUGUUUUCUUCUGAAAAAGAAAGAGAAAACUAAAAUUAAUGAAGAAGAUUUCUCAAUGUGUAGAAUUUUACAAAUUAAAUAUUAUAAAGUUUAAACCUAACUCAAUCUCAUAAAACCGGUUCAUGGGAUGAGUUUCUCGAUGUUGGAUCUCCAAAACACACUCGAGAUAUGGGUGGUCCGAUAACGGUCCGAUAGCGGCUGACACGAUAAGUCCAACAAAUACUCGCUACGAUAAGCUCGAAAUGACUCUGAUACAAUAUUACAAAGUGGACUUUAAGUCUUAUUCAACCACAUAAAACCAGUUCAUGGGAUGAAAUUUGCAUCCGCUUAUACACAAUAAAAUAAUUCUCAUCAACUUUAAUCGAUGUGGA